UGGCGACAUUUGCACCAACCAUGCGAUUAUUGAAAGAUUGCAUCGCUGUGAUGGAGUGCCACGUCGUUAUUUUUGGUUUGGCUAGGUAGUGUGUGUGUCUACUAACCCGUCCCCAUUGCUGGCUGGGCUGCUAGAAACAUACGGGGCAGCUGGCAAUAAUGAGAGACUAGAAAAUCAAGUGCCGACCAAGAUCGACAUCGGAGAGGCCACACGUAAAUACACGGAGAGGCUACAAACAAAGUGAGGAUAAAAAAGAUUUGUUUGGCAUGUGACCCCUCGCCGUCUAGCAAAAUUACGAACCCCAACCAAUGAGUUCAUCUACACUUUCCCUUUUGCUUGCUUGAGAUAGUAACAAAUUACUAGCAGAAUCGGAAGCUAAGAAGCAAUCUGGAACCGAAGAGAAGCAAAGCUAUUGAGCUUAAGGAAGAAAUCGAAGCAAUCGAGCAAAGGAAUAAUUACCGGUGAGGUCAGCGAGGAAGGCCCUGCAGGGCCCCUGGGUGGCGUUGUUGCCGACAUCCAGCAGCCAGAAGCCGAUCAUAUACACAAUAAUCGCGCCGUACCUGGUCGACCCGGGCCGGACGUUGUCCCCGAACAGCCGCCCCAGAUCGGCCGAGAAGCCGACGGUGAGCACGGAGAAGGCGAUGGAGGCGGCCCCCGCGGCGAUGAAGGGGCGGCGGCGGCCGAGCGGGGAGUCGGCGGGCGCGAUGCGGUCGGAGAGGUGGCCGAUGAGCGGCUGCACCAGCAGGCCGGAGAGCGGGCCGCAGAGCCAGAC